UACGGAGGGUGCAAGCGUUAUCCGGAUUCACUGGGUUUAAAGGGUGCGUAGGUGGUUUUGUAAGUCAGUGGUGAAAGCCCGGAGCUCAACUCCGGAACUGCCAUUGAUACUGCUUAACUUGAAUCAAGUAGAGGUGGAUGGAAUAUUACAUGUAGCGGUGAAAUGCUUAGAUAUGUAAUAGAACACCGAUUGCGAAGGCAGUUCACUAUGCUUGUAUUGACACUGAGGCACGAAAGCGUGGGGGAUCAAACAGG
rnacentral:rRNA from 1 species